rnacentral:rRNA from 1 species
GUAGGUGGCAAGCGUUGUCCGGAAUUAUUGGGCGUAAAGCGCGCGCAGGCGGUUCUUUAAGUCUGAUGUGAAAGCCCACGGCUCAACCGUGGAGGGUCAUUGGAAACUGGAGAACUUGAGUACAGAAGAGGAAAGCGGAAUUCCACGUGUAGCGGUGAAAUGCGUAGAGAUGUGGAGGAACACCAGCGGCGAAGGCGGCUUUCUGGUCUGUAACUGACGCUGAGGCGCGAAAGCGUGGGGAGCAAACAGGAUUAGAUACCCUGGUAGUCCACGCCGUAAACGAUGAGUGCUAAGUAUUAGGGGGUUUCCGCCCCUUAGUGCUGCAGCUAACGCAUUAAGCACUCCGCCUGGGGAGUACGGCCGCAAGGCUG